UAAAAACGUAUCUGAAUGUGCUAAAUUUUUGCAGUCCAAGUUUUUAUCACUUUAUACUGAUUGCACUGUGAAUUUCAACAUUUUCAAAAGUCUGGCUUUUAACUUAAUAAAAAAAUUUAAUGAGUGUGGAAAAAGAAAAAAGUUCUUUCUUACUAAAUAUAAACAUUUUUUGGAUCAAAAUCAACAAUGCAAAUAUCUCUUAUUAGAAAAAGAUUCUGAAAAAGAGAUUAGAACACAUGAGGAAGAACUGCUAUUAAUUAGAAAAGGUGAAAAUCUGAUUAAACAGGGUAAUCAACUCAUCAAGCAGGGUGAGCGUAAAAUAAAAGAAGGGGAAUUACUGCUUCGUACUCAUGGAUCCAAUGUAAACAGGUAUGCAUAGAUAAAUGUAUCUCCCUCUUUUUAUUUUGCACACACACAUACAUAUUGUUUGACUAUGUUUCACAAAACCUUCAAAAUGUAUAUAUGUUUCAAUGUAUUUUUUUAUUAUUUAUAGUGUACCAUGUAGAGUGCCUAAAUCAUCUGCAGUCAAUACAUCUUGUACAC